ensembl:lncRNA
UAGUGUUGUGGUGUUGUCACUUUAUGUAGUGGUAUAGUGUUGUCUCUUUAUGUAGUGGUGUGGUGUCUCUCUCUUUAUGUAGUGGUGUAGUGUCUCUCUCUUUAUGUAGUGGUGUGGUGACUCUCUUUAUGUAGUGGUAUAGUGUUGUCUCUUUAUGUAGUGGUGUGGUGUCUCUCUCUUUGUAGUGUUGUAGUGUCUCUCUCUUUAUGUAGUGGUAUAGUGUUGUCUCUUUAUGUAGUGGUAUAGUGUUGUCUCUUUAUGUAGUGGUAUAGUGUUGUCUCUUUAUGUAGUGGUAUAGUGUUGUCUCUUUAUGUAGUGGUAUAGUGUCUCUCUCUUUUGUAUGUUGUGGUGUCUCUCUUUAUGUAGUGUUGUAGUGUCUCUCUCUUUAUGUAGUGGUGUGGUGUCUCUCUCUUUAUGUAGUGGUGUGGUGUCUCUCUUUAUGUAGUGGUGUGGUGUCUCUCUCUUUAUGUAGUGGUGUGGUGUCUCUCUCUUUAUGUAGUGGUGUGGUGUCUCUCUCUUUAUGUAGUGGUGUGGUGUCUCUCUCUUUAUGUAGUGGUGUGGUGUCUCUCUCUUUAUGUAGUGUUGUAGUGUCUCUCUCUUUAUGUAGUGGUAUAGUGUUGUCUCUUUAUGUAGUGGUAUAGUGUCUCUCUCUUUGUAGUGUUGUAGUGUCUCUCUCUUUAUGUAGUGGUAUAGUGUUGUCUCUUUAUGUAGUGGUAUAGUGUCUCUCUCUUUAUGUAGUGGUAUAGUGUUGUCUCUUUAUGUAGUGGUGUAGUGUCUCUCUCUUUAUGUAGUGGUAUAGUGUUGUCUCUUUAUGUAGUGGUAUAGUGUCUCUCUCUUUAUGUAGUGGUAUAGUGUCUCUCUUUAUGUAGUGUUGUAGUGUCUCUCUUUAUGUAGUGGUAUAGUGUCUCUCUUUAUGUAGUGUUGUAGUGUCUCUCUUU